CUAGCUNCACCGUCACAUGAUUAAAAUUUGAUCAUGGGCUCAGGGUGAACGCUGGGCGGCGUGCCUAAAACAUGCAAGUCGAAGCGGGGCAGUUUAUGCCUGUUCAGCGGCGGACGGGUGAAUAACGCGUGGGUGACCUACCCGGGGAGAGGCGGACAACCUGGGGAAAACUCAGGCUAAUCCGCCAUGUGGUCCUGUUCUGUGGGGUGGGACUAAAGGGUGGAUAGCCCGCUUCCGGAUGGGCCCGCGUCCAUCAGCUGGUUGGUGGGGUAAAGGCCCACCAAGGCGACGACGGGUAGCCCGGUCUGAAAGGAUGGCCCGGCCACAGGGGCACUGAGACACGGGCCCCACUCCCUACGGGAGGCACCAGUUAGGAAUUUUCCCCAAUGGGACGGAAGGUCUGACGGAACCGACGCUUGCUUGGAAGGAAGAAACCCUUUCCGGGGUGUAAAACUCUUGAAACUGGGGGAACCAAAAGCCCUGUGUUAGGGGGGAUGACGGGU
rnacentral:rRNA from 1 species